rnacentral:rRNA from 1 species
UACGUAGGGUGCGAGCGUUGCCCGGAUUUAUUGGGCGUAAAGGGCGCGUAGGCGGUCACGCACGUCCGUUGUGAAAUCGCUCGGCUCAACUGGGCGGGGUCAGCGGAUACGGCGUGGCUGGAGCAAGCUAGGGGGCAAUGGAAUCCCGGUGUAGUGGUGGAAUGCGUAGAUAUCGGGAGGAACACCAGUGGCGAAGGCGGUUGCCUGGAGCUUUGCUGACGCUGAUGCGCGAAAGCGUGGGGAGCGUAGUCCGGAUUCG